rnacentral:rRNA from 1 species
GCGCUGCAUUAGCUAGUUGGUAAGGUAACGGCUUACCAAGGCAACGAUGCAUAGCCGACCUGAGAGGGUGAUCGGCCACACUGGAACUGAGACACGGUCCAGACUCCUACGGGAGGCAGCAGUAGGGAAUCUUCCGCAAUGGGCGAAAGCCUGACGGAGCAACGCCGCGUGAGUGAUGAAGGUCUUCGGAUCGUAAAACUCUGUUAUUAGGGAAGAACAUAUGUGUAAGUAACUGUGCACAUCUUGACGGUACCUAAUCAGAAAGCCACGGCUAACUACGUGCCAGCAGCCGCGGUAAUACGUAGGUGGCAAGCGUUAUCCGGAAUUAUUGGGCGUAAAGCGCGCGUAGGCGGUUUUUUAAGUCUGAUGUGAAAGCCCACGGCUCAACCGUGGAGGGUCAUUGGAAACUGGAAAACUUGAGUGCAGAAGAGGAAAGUGGAAUUCCAUGUGUAGCGGUGAAAUGCGCAGAGAUAUGGAGGAACACCAGUGGCGAAGGCGACUUUCUGGUCUGUAACUGACGCUGAUGUGCGAAAGCGUGGGGAUCAAACAGGAUUAGAUACCCUGGUAGUCCACGCCGUAAACGAUGAGUGCUAAGUGUUAGGGGGUUUCCGCCCCUUAGUGCUGCA